AUGAAGCCGAGGGCGAAAUCCGCGGCGACGGGCGCGAAGGCGAGGCAUCCGUCCAGCAGCACGGCCAGAAGGUCAAGCUCGAUGACGGCGCCGCCGUCGAACACCAGGGAGACCGCGGGCACCGUCACGGUGGUGACCCCCACGAAGUCGAAGCAGGUGUCGAGGUUCCCCGUCGGGGCGCGCGUCUUGUACGCCCUCAUGGCGUUCCUGAACGCCAGCCGCAGCGCGCGGUACGCGGUGGGGGGCAGCCGCGUGAUGAUGGCGCUCGAGUCCAUGACCGUCCCGCCGGAGAAGACCACCGGCGGCACGUUGAGCCGCCGCCCGGCGACCUCGAUGCCCUGGAGACGCACCACGUAG
rnacentral:rRNA from 1 species